rnacentral:rRNA from 1 species
UACGGGGGGAGCAAGCGUUGUUCAGAUUUACUGGGCGUAAAGGGCGCGUAGGCGGCCAGCGGAAGUCAGUUGUGAAAUCUCCGGGCUUAACUCGGAACGGUCAACUGAUACUGCGCGGCUAGAGUGCAGAAGGGGCAACUGGAAUUCUCGGUGUAGCGGUGAAAUGCGUAGAUAUCGAGAGGAACACCUGCGGCGAAGGCGGGUUGCUGGGCUGACACUGACGCUGAUGCGCGAAAGCUAGGGUAGCGAACGGG